GAAGGAAGGGGAAACGCCUUCAUGUCAGCAAUGAGGGUGACUCUAGUGACGGAACUAGUCUUGGGUCCCUGGGGCACCACUAGCCUCUCGGCAUCGGUGGUUUCUCCUUACUCUUCAGACGCUGCCAACUCCAUCCCCCAGGGAUUGUGAAGGGGGUUCCUUCUGGCUGUGACAGUGCUGAACGAGGCCAGAGAGUGCAGCUGCCUGGAGGCACAAGCCUCCUCCUGAUCCAGGGGGCUCCAGGGAGACCAAAGCAGCUGUCAAGAUGAGAGAAAUUGAAAAAGAAAAUGGAAAACUCUCCAGCCUGGCUCUCAGCUUCUGCAUCUCCAUGCAAGACCAGAGACCCACAUCACUCCCUCACUCCACCCAGUUCCACUCCAACAAUACCUGGGCCCUGCCAGGAGUGAGAAAACGGUCCUCUUCCUGUGGAUAGGUUGCUCUCUCCUCUUCCAGAUCAGGGUAUUCAUUGGUGCUGGGGAAUCCACAGCCCUCUUCGCCAAGCACCACUGGCUCAGAUGCAGCCCCAGAGCUGCCCCACUGGGCCUUCUUCAGUCUGUGGAGACUUUAGGCUGAGGAGAGAAGUGCCUGGAGGCCAGGCUUCCUGUCUCUCCAUUCUUCACCUUUCUGUUCUGAAAUACUUCCUGCUGGGACUCCAGGGAGUUGUCAUUUGACCUUUAACCCUCCACUCCCAAUUUUCUGCUCCCCUCAGACUGAAGCAUAUUGUCUAGGAACCCAGAGGUGACCCCAACCUCCCCACUGUCCUCCAGUUCUAUGGUUUGCUUUCCUGUCUUCAGUGAUCUAGUUUCCACUCCUUCCAGCUCAUGUGGCUCAUCCUCCUUACUGCAGUUCCCUCCUUCUUUCCAUAUUACAGAAAUCUGUUUCAAUCACACCAAAGCCCACAGCUUCCUUCCAAGCAACCUCCCCUCAAAGCUCCCCUCAAACCUCCCCUCAAAGCUGUCAACCCCUUCCUUAGCUCAAACUGUUCUGCCCCCAAAUCCUGCAUGACUCCCAGAACCCAGAUGUCUCCCUUCCUUACUCGUUGAUGAUGCUCUGACGCCUUCUUAGGUCCUCCAGGUGGUAAGUGACAGCCCUCACCCGGGCGGGGACUCCCCCAAGGCCCUGCUGCUGCAUUCCUUCCAAACAUGGCCUCCUCUUCUUUCUUCUCCAAAGCAUUUCAGGGGGUGGGAGCUGCUCAGGAGGAUACAGACCAAGCUGGGAGCAACCAGUGGCUCUCUGUGCCAGAGAAUGGGGAAAAAGAGCUAGAAAGAAGAACUGGCUCUCUCAAGGGAGCUUGGAUUGAACUAGGUUCUUCCAGAAGACAUCUCCAUAACGCUGGGGCAUGGGUCUGAGGCUCUGGGAAGGCAACCUUGGGGGUGGAGAUCGGCUGACCACCCUGGAACACCUGAGGUCAUCUUCCCCUUCCUGGACUGUUGCAAUGGUCUCUUCCCCCCGUCUCUGCUUCCAUUCCCAUCCCCCAACAAUAUAUUCUGCACAGAACUGUGAGAGAUGAUCAUACGAAAUAAUAUAAGGUUUGAGAUGUACUUCAAAAGAAUUUGAGAAAUAGGGGGCUAGAUGGGUAUAGAGAUGAAAAGAUUAUCCAUACAAUGAUAAUUAUUGAAGCUGACUGAAAAGGGUACAUGGGGUUCAUGAUACUAUUUUCUCUACUGUGUUUGUUUGAAAUUUUCCAUAAUAAAAAAAGUUGAAGGAAAAAAGGCUGGUCAUGUCA
rnacentral:lncRNA from 1 species